GGUGCUAUCGUCUAGUGGUAGGACAGUACGUUGUGGUUUGCGAGCUCUAUGCUUCAGACGAUAUCCGUACAAACGGCGGUUCGAUCCCGUCUAGCGCCA